rnacentral:sRNA from 1 species
GCUCAUUCAGGGGGUUCUCCCUGUAGAUUUGGUCCAGCAAAUGAGGCCA